rnacentral:tRNA from 1 species
AGCGGGUUGGAGUAGCCAGGUUAUCUCGUCGGGCUCAUAACCCGGAGACCGAUUGUUCAAAUCAAUCACCCGCUACCA